GAAUGUAACCAAUUUACCUAGAAGUUUGCUGAAGAAAUCAGAAAGCAGUCAUUCGGGGCAGUAACACUGGGUUAUGACUUCAUGGCCCAGCUAAGAUUGUUUUUGUUCUUUAGAAGUGGAUUCUUCCUUUCAAUGUUCACGAACUGGCCCAGAACCUACUUCAAGUAUCCAUCACCAACAGCAAAAUCAGAGAAAAUCACUUAGUCUCCAAUUUUUCCUCCAGGGAAGGCCUCAUUAAUGUCCUCCUAGCCAGCAGUUUCAUGCCCAUACAUGCAUGAUUGAAGCCAGCGGAAUACAAAGGGCAG
rnacentral:lncRNA from 1 species